rnacentral:rRNA from 1 species
CGAACGCUGGCGGCGUGCUUAACACAUGCAAGUCGAACGAUGAAGCCCAGCUUGCUGGGUGGAUUAGUGGCGAACGGGUGAGUAACACGUGAGCAACGUGCCCAUAACUCUGGGAUAACCUCCGGAAACGGUGGCUAAUACUGGAUAUCUAACAUGAUCGCAUGGUCUGUGUUUGGAAAGAUUUUUUGGUUAUGGAUCGGCUCACGGCCUAUCAGCUUGUUGGUGAGGUAAUGGCUCACCAAGGCGACGACGGGUAGCCGGCCUGAGAGGGUGACCGGCCACACUGGGACUGAGACACGGCCCAGACUCCUACGGGAGGCAGCAGUGGGGAAUAUUGCACAAUGGGCGAAAGCCUGAUGCAGCAACGCCGCGUGAGGGAUGACGGCCUUCGGGUUGUAAACCUCUUUUAGUAGGGAAGAAGCGAAAGUGACGGUACCUGCAGAAAAAGCACCGGCUAACUACGUGCCAGCAGCCGCGGUAAUACGUAGGGUGCAAGCGUUGUCCGGAAUUAUUGGGCGUAAAGAGCUCGUAGGCGGUUUGUCGCGUCUGCUGUGAAAUCCCGAGGCUCAACCUCGGGUCUGCAGUGGGUACGGGCAGACUAGAGUGUGGUAGGGGAGAUUGGAAUUCCUGGUGUAGCGGUGGAAUGCGCAGAUAUCAGGAGGAACACCGAUGGCGAAGGCAGAUCUCUGGGCCAUUACUGACGCUGAGGAGCGAAAGCAUGGGGAGCGAACAGGAUUAGAUACCCUGGUAGUCCAUGCCGUAAA